rnacentral:rRNA from 1 species
UCCCGGCACGGGGAGGUAGUGACGAAAAAUAACAAUACGGGACUCUUCAUGAGGCCCCGUAAUUGGAAUGAGCGCAGUCUAAACCCUUGGGCGAGGACCCAUUGGAGGGCAAGUCUGGUGCCAGCAGCCGCGGUAAUUCCAGCUCCAAUAGCGUAUAUUAAAGUUGUUGCAGUUAAAAAGCUCGUAGUUGGAUCUCGGGCGCAGGCGGGCGGUCCGGCUCGCGCCGGUUCGCCGCCCGUCAACCUGCCCCACCCCUGCCGGCUCCCUCCCGGUGGUGCUCUUUGCUGAGCGUCCCGGGCGGCCGGCGCGUUUACUUUGAAAAAAUUAGAGUGUUCAAGGCGGGCCCGCCGAGCCCGAAUAACUGCGCAUGGAAUAAUGGAAUAGGACCUCGGUUCUAUUUUGCUGGUUUUCGGAAUCCGAGGUAAUGAUUGACGGGGACAAACGGGGGCAUUCGUAUUGCGGCGUUAGAGGUGAAAUUCUUGGAUCGCCGCAAGA